rnacentral:rRNA from 1 species
ACGCUCGACACCUACGGGAGCAGCAGUGGGGAAUAUUGGGCAAUGGGCGCAAGCCUGACCCAGCAACGCCGCGUGAAGGAAGAAGGCUUUCGGGUUGUAAACUUCUUUUAUUAAGGACGAAGCAAUGACGGUACUUAAUGAAUAAGCUCCGGCUAACUACGUGCCAGUAGCCGCGGUAAUCUGAGCGGGCUGGCAAGGC